rnacentral:rRNA from 1 species
CACGUAGGGGGCAAGCGUUGUCCGGAUUUAUUGGGCGUAAAGAGCUCGUAGGCGGCUUAGUAAGUCGGGUGUGAAACCUCCAGGCUCAACCUGGAGACGCCACCCGAUACUGCUGUGGCUAGAGUCCGGUAGGGGAGCGUGGAAUUCCUGGUGUAGCGGUGAAAUGCGCAGAUAUCAGGAGGAACACCUGUGGCGAAAGCGGCGCACUGGACCACAACUGACGCUGAGGCGCGAAAGCUAGGGGAGCAAACAGG